CCAGCAGCCGCGGUAAUUCCAGCUCCAAUAGUGUAUCUUAACGUUGUUGCAGUUAAAAAGCUCGUAGUUGAAUUUCUGGGGGGGUGUUUCAAGGUACGUCCUGUUACUGCCCUCUCAUCCGCUUUGGAACCAGGAGGGGUAUUUAGUUAUCGGCCUGGGGAAGGGGCAUUUUACUUUGAAGAAAUUAGAGUGUUCCAGGCAGGCUUUUGCUUGAAUACAUCAGCAUGGAAUAAUGGAAUAGGACAAUGUUCAUUUUAUUGGCUAUUGAACUUGUAAUGAUUAACAGGGACAGUUGGGGGCAUUCGUAUUCAUUUGUCAGAGGUGGAAUUCUUGGAUUAACUGAA
rnacentral:rRNA from 1 species